rnacentral:rRNA from 1 species
UUGGGUGACGAGUGGCGGACGGGUGAGUAAUGUCUGGGAAACUGCCCGAUGGAGGGGGAUAACUACUGGAAACGGUAGCUAAUACCGCAUAACGUCGCAAGACCAAAGAGGGGGACCUUCGGGCCUCUUGCCAUCGGAUGUGCCCAGAUGGGAUUAGCUAGUAGGUGGGGUAACGGCUCACCUAGGCGACGAUCCCUAGCUGGUCUGAGAGGAUGACCAGCCACACUGGAACUGAGACACGGUCCAGACUCCUACGGGAGGCAGCAGUGGGGAAUAUUGCACAAUGGGCGCAAGCCUGAUGCAGCCAUGCCGCGUGUAUGAAGAAGGCCUUCGGGUUGUAAAGUACUUUCAGCGAGGAGGAAGGCGUUGUGGUUAAUAACCGCAGCAAUUGACGUUACUCGCAGAAGAAGCACCGGCUAACUCCGUGCCAGCAGCCGCGGUAAUA